GAUGAACGCUGGCGGCGUGCCUAAUACAUGCAAGUCGAGCGAACAGACGAGUAGCUUGCUCCUCUGACGUUAGCGGCGGACGGGUGAGUAACACGUGGAUACUCUACCUAUAUGCCUGGGAUAACUUCGGGACACCGGCGCUUAUACCGGAUAAUAUAUUGAACCGUAUGGUUCAAUAGUGAAAGUCGGUUUUGCUGUCACUUAUAGCUGGACACGCGCCGCAUUAGCUAGUUGGUAAGGUAACGGCGUACCAAGGCCACGAUGCGUAGCCGACCUGGUAGGGUGAUCGGCCACACUGGAACUGAGACACGGACCAGACUCCUACGAGAGGCAGCAGUAGGGAAUCUGCCGCAGUGGUCGAGAGCUUGACGGAACAACGCCGCGUGAGUGAUGAAGGUCUUCGGAUCGUGAAGCUCUGUUAUGAGUGAAGAACAAAUGUGGAAGUAACUGUGCACGUCUUGACGGUACCUGGUCAGAAAGCCACGGCUAACUACGUG
rnacentral:rRNA from 1 species